GAUGAACGCUGGCGGCGUGCUUAACACAUGCAAGUCGAACGAAGCAUUUAAGACAGAUUCCUUCGGUUUGAAGUCUUUUAUGACUGAGUGGCGGACGGGUGAGUAACGCGUGGGUAACCUGCCUCAUACAGGGGGAUAUCAGCUGGAAACGGCUGGUAAUACCGCAUAAGCGCACAGUACCACAUGGUACAGUGUGAAAAACUCCGGUGGUAUGAGAUGGACCCGCGUCUGAUUAGCUUGUUGGCGGGGUAACGGCCCACCAAGGCGACGAUCAGUAGCCGACCUGAGAGGGUGACCGGCCACAUUGGGACUGAGACACGGCCCAGACUCCUACGGGAGGCAGCAGUGGGGAAUAUUGCACAAUGGCGGAAACUCUGAUGCAGCGACGCCGCGUGAGUGAAGAAGUAGUUCGCUAUGUAAAGCUCUAUCAGCAGGGAAGAUAGUGACGGUACCUGACUAAGAAGCUCCGGCUAAAUACGUG
rnacentral:rRNA from 1 species